GAAUUAUUGUACGAUAAAUGAUCAAAUUUGAUACUAUAGAGUCAGUCGUCAAAUUUUACUCUAAACCAAGACGAAUUUGUCGUUAUAUCUUCCCGAGUUAAUCGUUUGCUGUAUAUGCAAAUUUUGUAUUGUUAUGGGUAUGUAUACUUUCGUAUUUACUUAUCUAAUGACAUAUUGUGUAAAUGUGUACGUAAUAUUAAUCAUUGAAAAUGAAGAAGAAGACUAUUUAUCCAUCCCCUAUUGGUCUGAUGAUGUCUUUGGAAUAAAGACAAAAUAUUACACAAUCUGUUGUCUAAAACUCUUGUAUAAUUUUGAUUAUUAAGAAAACGAGAUGUCUGUUUUCGGAA